rnacentral:rRNA from 1 species
GACGAGGGAUCCAAGCGUUGUUCGGAAUUAUUGGGCGUAAAGCGGAUGCAUGUGGCUCUAUAAGUCAGGUGUGAAAUCCCAGGGCUCAACCCUGGAAGUGCAUUUGAUACUGUAGAGCUUGAGUGCUAGAGAGGUAAGUAGAAUACCUGGUGUAGUGGUGAAAAUACGUAGAUAUCAGGGUGGGAAUACCCGGAGGGCGAAAGGCGGCUUACUGGCUAGACACUGACACUCGAGAUCCGGAAAAGCGUGGGGGAUCAAAACAGG